rnacentral:lncRNA from 1 species
GAUGAUGCUUAUUGAACCUGGGAUGUAGUGUGGAAGCUUGGGCAUGUUGGUGAUUCAUUGGAAAAAACACAGAGCAAAAAAGACAGGGACACGAGAGAGCGACACGCACACAGC